rnacentral:misc_RNA from 1 species
GAUGAAGAACGUAGUGAAAUGCGAUAAGUAAUGUGAAUUGCAGAAUUCAGUGAAUCAUCGAAUCUUUGAACGCACAUUGCGCCCGUCAGUAUUCUGGCGGGCAUGCCUGUUCGAGCGUCAUUACGCCCCUCAAGUCCCCUGUGGACUUGGUGUUGGGGAUCGGCGAGGCUGGUUUUCCAGCACAGCCGUCCCUUAAAUUAAUUGGCGGUCUCGCCGUGGCCCUCCUCUGCGCAGUAGUAAAACACUCGCAACAGGAGCCCGGCGCGGUCCACUGCCGUAAAACCCCCCAACUUUUUAUAGUUGACCUCGAAUCAGGUAGGACUACCCGCUGAACUUAAGCAUAUCAAUAAGCGAGGA